UGACUGCAGCAUUUGUGAUGAAUGAAAUCAGUAGCCCCUCUGCUGAUGAUCCUUUGCUGCCGGUCUGCCGGAUACUGCACACAGACAGGAACAACCAAGAUACAAUGUCAUAUGUGUGAGGGGACGGCCUUUUUACAUUCAAGUAUGUUAGAUAUUUGCCUUUUAUGUGUGAAUUAAUUGUGGAAUUUUACUUUUGAGUUGCAAUUUGUUAAAUCCAUGUCUUCUUAGGUGGGGAGGAAAGUCAUAUAUACCGUGUCAAAUUUGAGAUUUGAGGGAAGCUAACUGGCCUUCUUCGUGAUAUCUGUAUUUCCGAUUUUAUUUGCUUUGUUGGUUUGUUUCAUGAUCUGUUUUUCUGGCCGCUAAACAGAAAUUAGGAUUUAAUAGAACAGGUAAGUAAAAUAGAGGUGAUAUGUCUAGAGACUGGAAACAAAUCCUCUUCUGUUUUGUGGUCUGUCAGAUUCUUCUGGUAGUCCGAAGAUCCCCGAAUUCCUUAAAAUUGGACCAUGGUUCGCAGAAUGCAAGAUGUAAUCUUUGAACUUGUAUAUGGCUACUGUAUACAGAAUUGCAUAAUCAUAGAAAGAUUGUGCUUGGAGGAUUAAAGAUACACCCUAAAAAGGGAAGUUUAAUUGCACGUCAAUCUGUUGAUAAUAUGAAAUGGGUCUUUUUCUUGAACUAGUAUAUGGUGUUAUGUUAAACGUGUUACACAUAUAUUGCCCUUUCAUGCUACAACAACAACAUACUCAGUGAAAUCCCACUAAGUAGGGUCUACGAAGGAUAGAGUAUACACAGACCUUACCACUACCUCGUGGAAGUAGAGAGGUUGUUUCCGAAAGACCCUCGGCUCAAGUGCGUCAAAUUCAAGUAAAAGAAGAAGACAAUGAAGAAAACAUAGCAGUUAAAUAAGAAAAGCAGUGUAUAGUCGAUAAAAAAGCAAUAACAACAACAAAAUAGUGGGGGUCAUGUACCCUUUCAUGCUACAUGAGCAAAAAUACCUUGAACUGCAAUUUAUUUCAUUAGAAUCAUUGCAUGUUCUUGCUAUUAUUGUGAAAAAGACUGAGUAGCUAUAAUAGGUUACAGGAAAAAUACUAUUUUGUAUUUCUGGGAUGCGCUACUUAGGAAUAUGUUCGUGUUUCGGAGGCCAGUUUAUGCUGAAAAGACACCUUUUUAGAUUUCAUAAACCAUACCAACUUGAAGUGUUUUAUCUGGUGGAAUUUGAAGUGCAGAAAUAGCUGCCCUGCUAUUCUUCUGAAGAAACCUGUACAAGUACUCUAUAGUGAAGCGAGCAAACCAACCUUUAUUUGCUUUGAGAAUGGUUCUUCCUAACACAAAAACGGGUCCUCUUUCAGCAGCUGCAUCUAUUUUUCGUUUUUCACUAGUAGACUCGGCUUGGUCUUGGAGUUUUGUGAUCAUUAAAGUAACAAAGUCAUCUCCUUCCAUGCUUUGAGAAUCCUUAUAUCCAAACUGAAUCAAACACCGAUAAAAUCCUUCAACUCCCGUCUUCCCCACAUUGUAACGUUCCUCCACCAGGACGGUUUUGAUGGGAAGAGUUCUAACAGUGACAAUUACCAGGAUUUCUCUUACAGAAUUUGUGUGCUGAAUGUAAUGACAGAUUAUGGGUGGAAUGCCAUUUCUGAGAUCAGUGAAAAAGAAGCAAAUUCCUGGUGCUCGGUAUGUACUAUAGCUUGAUAGCAUUUGGUCUAGAUCAGGUAAACUCAUCUUUCUAUCUGCUUCAUAUUCUUUUUUCUUACUCCUUCCAUAUGUCCAAGAUAGCAUGAUAGUCAAGAAGAAAGCAGAAAUAGCAAAUGGCACCCAUCCUCCUUGUGGUAUUUUAUUGAGCAAAGAUGUCAUGAAACAACCUUCAAUUAUUAUAUAAGGCAAGAAAAAUGCCAAAAUGAGAAUGAUAUUUGUCUUCCAUAUGAUUAGCAUCACUAAUGCUGUCAAGAAUGUUGUUAUGAUCAGGGGCGGACCCACGUGGAGGUCAGGGGGUUCACCCGAACCCCCUCAUCGAAAAAUUACACUGUAUAUAUAAGGUCUAUUUCUGAUUUUAUGAGUACAUAUAUUAAAAUGAACCCCCUCAAUUUUUAAGAGAGGCAUGGCUCAGUGGUUAAGGGGUUCAACUCUAACCAAGAGGGUCUGGGUUCGAUUCCCACUUGCAACAUUUUUCCAUUUGUUUUUUUUUCUUUGAAAGGUUGAAUGGGCUCUUGCUUUGGGCUCAAAUCCAAUUCCAUUUCAUUGUUUUUAGAAGGCUGUAUGGGCUCUGGUUUCGGGCUCAAAUCCCAACUCAAUGAAAUGUCUCACUAUUUGAUUAUUAUUAAAUUUGAAAUUGAUUUACAAAAAUAUUAUAUAAAAAUAAAUUAAAUUAAAGUUAAUCGAAUGAAGAAAUUUAAAAGUCGUGUAUAAUCUUUUAAUAAAAUCUAAUUAAUUGAUUCCCGCCCCUCCCCCCCCUCUUAAAUUUAUAGUAUUUCUUUCUUAUUUUUUUUCAGUUUGAUUUUAAAAAGAUGAAAACUAAACUAAACUUAUUUGUUCUAUUCAUCAUUUGAUGAAUUAUUAUUAAAUUUGAAAUUGAUUUACAAAAAUAUUAUAUAAAAAUAAAUUAAAUUAAAGUUAAUCGAAUGAAGAAAUUUAAAAGUCGUGUAUAAUCUUUUAAUAAAAUCUAAUUAAUUGAUUCCCGCCCCUCCCCCCCCUCUUAAAUUUAUAGUAUUUCUUUCUUAUUUUUUUUCAGUUUGAUUUUAAAAAGAUGAAAACUAAACUAAACUUAUUUGNNNNNNNNNNNNNNNNNNNNNNNNNNNNNNNNNNNNNNNNNNNNNNNNNNNNNNNNNNNNNNNNNNNNNNNNNNNNNNNNNNNNNNNNNNNNNNNNNNNNUAAACUUAUUGGAUUCAGAUUACUAGUUUCCUCCUAUAUCUCGCUCAGUUUUUUAUCUUGUAAUUUUCACAUGUUUACUUCUUUAUAUUUCGAACCCCCUCCACAGAAAUCCUGGAUCCGCCACAGUUGACACCCCUUCGUUAGAAAACUAUAUUGUAUAGAUAGGUAACUUAUUUAUUUUAUAUAUAUGUGUUAUGAUAUUGAUAUCCUUUGAAUUCUUCAUGAAUUUACUUAUUUAUAUUUUGACAUUUCUUUAUGAAAAUUCUGAUUCGAACACUAAAAAUAACUAUCAAUAUUAAAUGACUGAUGACGACGAUCAUGCAUGAUAAAAGGAUGAUCAAGUGAACAACUCUAUCGACAAUUGCAUUGGGUAUCAAAUAAGGAUAAUAUACUUAAUAAUAUUGAUAUUUUUCUUUCUUUAUAGAAUAGAAUAAUGAGUUGGCACCUUUUUGAAGUUUCUUUUUAAGCACGUCGCCAAAAGUCAAAAUUCUUUUGGAUAUCCCUUUCUAUGGACGUCAUUUAGAUUUUGUCAUCUAUUAAUGAUUUUGUGCCAAUUAUUUAUAAGAUCGCAUAAGAUAUAAACGUUCUUUUUAACUUGACCUCAAUUGAUAUUUAUCUAUGUUUUUUAAUUUUGAAUGUAUAUAAGUAGACACUUGAAUUUGUACAAAAUUGAACAAAUAGACACAUUCAUCUUACGUGGCAUCCUACAAGUCAACUGUGUGUCCUACAUAUAUAUUAUGUCACGUAGGAUACAUAUAUAUAUCUAGGAAAAGUUAAUCCACAUAUACAUAUAAAAACAUAUAUUACAUCGUAUAUACGUAGAAAUUAGUAAUAUAACAAAAUAAUUACUAGUGAUGACAGAUUUGGAUUAUUUAAUAAUUAAUUUAAUUAUAUUUGAAUUAUUUAAUAAUUAUAUUUUUUUUGCUUUAGUGCAAAUAAGAAGCGUGCAAUUUUUGUAGUAGUACGUACCUAGGAUAUGAUCAUGACCCAGAUGACCACCACCCCUGUAGUUGAAAAAGAAAAGUUAGUUCCAUUUCUCAGCGAAGUACGCUUUAUUUGGACUUCCAGUUGUGGUUUAACUUAACAACAACAACAACAGAUCUAGUGUGAUCCCACACUUGUCUGGAGAGGUGGGUGGUAUGCAGACUGUACCCUACCUUUGCGAGGUAGAGAGGUUGCUUACGAUAAGACCCUCUCGGCUCAAGAAAAGCGUUUUUCAAACAUUUUUAUACUAUUAAUUUUACUCGUUUGGAAACCGACUCUCUACCUCCACGAGGUAGCGUAAGGUCUGUGUACACUCUACCCUCCCUAGACCUCACCUGUGUGAUUACACUAGGUAUGUUAUUGUUGUUGUUGAAUUAAUAAUAAUUUUACUGAUUAUAACAGGUUAUUUACCAUUGUUACAGAUUAUUAACCCAUUCUUGCUAUAAAAAGUUGCAUAUAAUUGGUUAUUUUAAGUAGCAUGAUAGUAUUAGAUUUUUAAGUUGUCGGUGUACAAAAAGAAAUCUGAGUGAUGCUUACCAUAGGCAUUUGCUAGUUCAACACCUCCUUUGAAACCAAGAACGAGAGUGACACAAAGAAUCAUGAGGAUGUAGUUUACCUCUGGGGAAUAGAUUUGUCCUUCAUGCUUGGAUGAAGUAUGUAUAAUGUUUACUCGAGGGAAGCAUCCAAGAGCAAGUGAUUGCUUUACAAUGGAAAAAGUUGCUGAUAUCAUGGACUGGCUAGCAACCACGGCAGCUAGAGUUGAGAUUACAAACAUUGGCCAGUAAACAGGUUUUGGUAGGGAACUGUAAUAAGCAUUGUUGAUAUUCUCUGGAUACCUCACUAGAUAAGCUGUUUCUCCGGCAUAGCUGAGAACUAGGGAUGGAUAAACUACAAAAGAAAAUGCCAACUGCAAGACUCAUUGUACAGAAAUGCCAUCAAUCAGAUUAACUUUUCUAAUGGUAGAUUAGAGUUCUUUGUUCCUUACCUGAAUUGCUCUUUUAUUGAAAUGACCUAAAUCAGCAAACAUGGCUUCCGCUCCUGCAUGACAGUUUAAAACAUGUCGGAAGUGAACUAAUUUUCUCCUAUUUCAUAUGCUUUUCUUUUAUCUUUUUUUUCCCCUCAAAAUUAGUUGUAAAGUUAAACCUGUAAUGCUUAGAAAUACUGCACCGAGAAGAUUCCAAGCAGUCUUUCCAUUUCUUGAAACAAAUUUCACUAUGUAGUGUGGAGAAAUGGCUUUAAGAACGGAUGGAUAGUACUCCAAAAUAUUGUAGAUACCGACUGAAACAUUGGUAGCAAACCACAAUAACAUUACGGGUGUGAAGCAGAAGCUAACUUUGCUUGUUCCACAGCGUUGAAAAGUGAAAAGUGCGAUUAACAUAAUCACAGACAUGAAAACCACAUGAUCUGCAGCCAAUAGAACUUUCAUUAAACCUCACGUUUUGGUGAGUAAAUGGAAGCAGAUCUGAACUAGCAAUAGAACUGUCUUUUGAAAAUUAUUUUGACUUUACCUUGUGUUAUCUUGGAAGAGAGAGAUUGAAUUCCUUGCAGGGCUGAGAGAACUGAUGUAACAAGUGUAUGGACAUGAGGCAACGUCGAAAGGAAAUAUAACUUGGAGAAAACAAAGGAAGAAUGUUACCGCAAGUAGCAGGAGUGAGAGCUCCAUCACCAAUGACCAUACAAGUUCCAAGUAAAACAACAAAAGUAAGAACAUUUUGAGCUGUGGAACUUUUCUCCAGGAACUUCUUAGUUUUUGAACGCCUAGAACUUCCACUCUCUUGGCUGUAAUAAGCCAUGCUCUCAUCAGAUUCCAUCCUAACGUUGUGGAUACUAAGUUUGCUUUGGAAAUUGAUAUGGCGACAGAGAUAUGAAUAGAGAGCAAAAGUACCGCCUUCUCCAUGAUCAUUAGCAUGGAGGACGAUGAAGACAUAUUUGACUAACACAAGCAACGUUAGAGUCCAAAAGAUUAGGCUGAAUGUCCCAAGUAAAUCAUCUUCAGUGAGAUUUGUCAAGCGAGUAGAGGAAAAUACAUUGACAGGAGAAGUGGCAAGGUCCCCAUAUACAACUCCAAGAGAUUGGUAAGCCAACAACAAGGUCUGCAUGGGUGGAUAUUCCUGAGAAAAAUACUCAAAAUCUCAAUAUCCUAUGAAGUGACUUAGAAGUUUCAAGGCAGUAACAAAAAAAAGUGUGAAGUUAUCAGAUUUUAUCGAAACUGGUAGUAGCACUAGCACACAUCGAGGGUAAAAUGAGAACAGGUUGCUUGUGAUGAUUUCAUCAUGUCCUAUGUCAACCUCCAGAUGCACCGGUCUGCAGGAACCAUGAUGACUUAAGGUGUUCAAAAGGAAGAGGUAGUUAUAACUUAAUCACAUGAAGGAAGUUAUCCCGAAAGACCUACACUCUCUUGAAAUCUAUGCAAACCUAGCAAAAGAUCGGGCACAAUGAAAGAAAAGGAUCUAUGUGGAUGAUACCAGUUAGUUGGUUUAAGCUUUAAUUAUGCUAAUAUGUUUACUUUCGAUCCCAAUGUUUGUUGGGAGUUUUUAGGUCUUGUUUGAGAUUUCAUGCGUGGGAAAUGCAGACAGCUUCUAGUGCUACAAAAACUAAUUCUUUAUUAUAUUUGAACUUAGACAAAGCUUAAUUGAGUGACAUGGACAAUGAGAAUUCAUAUAGCCGAGGAUUCACAUAGACGGUCUUAAAUAGAGGGACAGUGGAUAUUUCUUGGAAUAUUGAAGAUGAGAAAAAGUAAAGCUUACCUUAGCUUUGGUUAAGGGAGACUGGUAUGUCUGCAUAACUGUCAUGUAUGUUUCCAUAGCAGGUACUGGUUCUGGAACAACUCUCCUGCUGUUGUUACAAAGGUCAAUACGGUUACUAUCUUCAAGAUUGCUUCUACUUUCAAUAUCAUAGUUCUUUAUGCUGGAAUUGUUGCUUUUAACAUCUUCCAUGUUUUAAAUGCAGGACACUUCCAAUAUUCUAGUUAAGAAGUUGCCGUACAUUGUGUCAUGCUUAUAUAGCUUCAAAAAAGCCUCAAGGACUAUCGAUUUGCAAACAGGGAUAUCGAUUUGGUUGAUCCUAAGAAUAAAACAAAAGAUAUAAGUUAGUGCUGCAAAUUCUAAAAGCCACAAGUUGCUGGAGAGGGAGCAGGUAAAGGAACACAUCAUCAUAUAUAUAUUUUAGCAGUAAUUCCACCAAUUUGCAUACAAAUUUAUUUCAUCAUCCUGUUGGAGCACUUAUCGAUUCGCAAACAGGGAUAUGAAGAUAAAUUAUUGGUACAUUUUCUUGUUGACAUAUUAUAUUUUAUACCAAGGAGUGACUACACACUCUCACAAGUGACAUAUAACCAGAAAUUUUUAAAAAUCUGCCACUGUUGCUUUGUUGGAUGAACCUUAUCUAGUCUAGUCUAGUCUAGUUAAAUAAAUCAAGCUUAAAUUUUUGCAGUAAGUUGAUGACAAGUGAAAACUAGUAAAUCCUCUGAUUAAAAAGGUAAGCUUGAUUAAUGAACAAAAGCUCAUAUGCAAUUUUGCUGGCUUAUGAUUCUUUUGAUUAUGAAUUUUUUGUUUUAUUAUAGGUAUAUAUAUCAGUGUUGACACAUCUUGACCUAAGCUGGUCCAAUGUAAUGGUUAAGGUGUUGCACAACUUUCUUAAACUCGUGUGUUCAGUCCUAGCUAGCGACAUCAUUAUAUUUGCCUUUUUUUUACAUCUUUAAUAAAAA
rnacentral:lncRNA from 1 species